UCAGCCGCCGCGGUAAUACGUAGGUGGCAAGCGUUGUCCGGAAUUACUGGGUGUAAAGGGUGCGUAGGCGGUUUUUAAAGUCAGAUGUGAAAUGCCGCAGCUUAACUGCGGAGCUGCAUUUGAAACUUAAAGACUUGAGUGAAGUAGAGGUAAGCGGAAUUCCUAGUGUAGCGGUGAAAUGCGUAGAUAUUAGGAGGAACACCAGUGGCGAAGGCGGCUUACUGGGCUUUAACUGACGCUGAAGCACGAAAGCAUGGGUAGCAAACAGGAUUAGAUACCCUGGUAGUCCAUGCCGUAAACGAUGGAUACUAGGUGUGGGGGGUACUGACCCCCCCCGUGCCGGAGUUAACGCAAUAAGUAUCCCACCUGGGGAGUACGGUCGCAAGAUUGAAACUCAAAGGAAUUGACGGGGGCCCGCACAAGC
rnacentral:rRNA from 1 species